GGCAAAGUUGUCUUUUCAUGGUUGAGUUGUUAUAUAAUAGCUGUUACUAUAUAAUGAGAGAUCAGAACAGAACUCACACACAGAACCAGACCACAUCCUCAGAGACCAGAACAUCAGAGACCAUCUAGACAAUACAAUCUUCAACAUCUCAACCAUCUCUGUACCAUGAAGACCCUGACUGCUCUACUCCUCCUGGGACUGCUCUGCUCCCUCCAUAAGACGUCUGCAGGGUGGCAGAUUCAUGAUCUACCGUCUGGGACUGGCAGAGACUGCUGUUUAAAGUCCUACACCACCAGGAUGCCUGUCUCUCUCUGGUGGUUUCUGCUGUUUAAAGUCCUACACCACCAGGAUGCCUGUCUCUCUCUGGUGGUUUCUGCUGUUUAAAGUCCUACACCACCAGGAUGCCUGUCUCUCUCUGGUGGUUUCUGCUGUUUAAAGUCCUACACCACCAGGAUGCCUGUCUCUCUCUGGUGGUUUCUGCUGUUUAAAGUCCUACACCACCAGGAUGCCUGUCUCUCUGGUGGUGUCUGCUGUUUAAAGUCCUACACCACCAGGAUGCCUGUCUCUCUGGUGGUGUCUGCUGUUUAAAGUCCUACACCACCAGGAUGCCUGUCUCUCUCUGGUGGUUUCUGCUGUUUAAAGUCCUACACCACCAGGAAGCCUGUCUCUCUCUGGUGGUUUCUGCUGUUUAAAGUCCCCUGUGGCUCAGUUGGUAGAGCAUGGUGUUUGCAACACCAGGGUUGUGGGUUCGAUUCCCACGGGGGACCAUUACGGGGGAAAAAGAUGUAUGAAAUGUAUGCAUUCACUACUGUAAGUCACUCUGGAUAAGAGCAUCUGCUAAAUGACUAGAAUGUAAAUGUAAAAUAUGUAUCCUCCUAACUUGAAGGGGUAAGCAUAGUAGGCUCUAGACUAGAGUCUAGAGGAUCCUAUUCUCCAGUAUGUUAACAUAUGUAUCCUCCUAACUUGAAGGGGUAAGCAUGGUAGACUAGAGUCUAGAGGAUCCUAUUCUCCAGUAUAUUAACAUAUGUAUCCUCCUAACUUGAAGGGGUAAGCAUGGUAGGCUCUAGACUAGAGUCUAGAGGAUCCUAUUCUCCAGUAUGUUAACAUAUGUAUCCUCCUAACUUGAAGGGGUAAGCAUGGUAGACUAGAGUCUAGAGGAUCCUAUUCUCCAGUAUAUUAACAUAUGUAUCCUCCUAACUUGAAGGGGUAAGCAUGGUAGGCUCUAGACUAGAGUCUAGAGAAUCCUAUUCUCCAGUAUAUUAAAAUAUGUAUCGGCAGAGCCACACAAUCAGAUUGUUGCAUUUCAACGGCAAACGAAAUCUCAGGAAAAUAAAUGAUAAAUAAAAAAUAUAUGAAAUAAACACACAAUGAUAUAUUAGACAAAGCUUUUUAAACAUUUAAUUAAAAAGACUGCAUGGGGGCUUUAUUGAAGACCUUUGGAUGGGAAGACUUCUGAGAACAGUUUAACCAUAGGCCUAUUGACUGAUAGAUAGAAAUACCCAGAGCCUUACAGUGAUUUCAGAAAGUAUUCAGACCCCUUGACUUUUUCCACAUUUUGUUACGUUACAGCUAUAUUGUAAAAUAGAUUUUUUUUAAAUGUC